UACGGAGGGUGCAAACGUUGCUCGGAAUCAUUGGGCGUAAAGCGCGUGUAGGUGGCGAGGCAAGUCGGGUGUGAAAGCCCUGGGCUCAACCCAGGAAGUGCACUCGAUACUGCCUAGCUAGAGUCCCGGAGAGGUUGGUGGAACUCUCGGUGUAGAGGUGAAAUUCGUAGAUAUCGAGAAGAACACCGGUGGCGAAGGCGGCCAACUGGACGGUGACUGACACUGAGACGCGAAAGCGUGGGGAGCAAACAGG
rnacentral:rRNA from 1 species